AUUUCCCUGUCCUUAUUUGGAACUUCCUGAGGCAGCGUUGAUCGCUGUUAAGCAGUGAAUGAGAGGCAGGAGUGCAAAUCAUCGUCCAGCGCUCACAGUAACUAAUGUUAGCAACAGAAUCCUGCUCCUCUGUUUUAAAACGUCAGCCUCGGCUGAACUAACUGUGUGAAAGAGUUUGUGCAACAGACAAUUUGAUUUACAUUUCAUUUAGGAGUUAUGUUUAAUACAGUCUACAUUGUGCUCUAAAAAGGACGGAUUUAAUGCUUUAACCACAACGCAAGAAUUUUGUGGAGACUAUUUAUGAUAGGCCACAAUACUUUUCAACAGAAGCACAGAAAAUAUAUAACUAGCAAAACUUCAACUUUAUUUUUAUUUUCAGACUGCAACAUAAUUUUAAUACACUAUGGCUGCAAGAUUCAUUGCUAUGCUUUUCAAUGCCUUUAGGGUUAAUGGUUAUGAAUAAUUCGAAAAUGCAACAUUUUAACAUUUAAUAUAGUGAAGGGAUUUAUAAGGCUAUGGGAUUCUAAAUAUAAAAGUGCGCAAAGUUGCUGGCUGGUUGCAAACUUCAUUUUCCAUGUCUCUCGGUUGUGUCACUGAUUAAGGACAACAGAUAGCCGAUAAGGUGAGGGCGAUUCGUCUAAUUGAGGGGUGUCCCCUGCUCAAUAUUCGGGGAAUCUCUCCACCACUCAGCGGCCUCGUUAACAACGCCGCACACGGCUAUAGGACGCCUGCGGGAUGCCGAUGUACCCCCACGGCCGCUCCAACCUCGGCUGCCGCGCCAGCACUCUCUCGGUGAAUGCCGACGGGAAAUCAAUGUGUUUCCCUUGCUGCUGACUAGAUCUUUAUGCAAACAACCUCCUUGGGAGACAUCGUGGGCAGGACACUCUGAGAGGCCCGAGAAAGAGAGACAGAGAAAAUGAGAGACGCAGAGAAAAGAGACAUAUUGGUUUGGUGGGGAGGGCAGCGCAGCAAUGGGAGACGUCACUCCUCUAAGGGCCUGUUACUUAUAAGAAAAACAAGACCAGAAGACGGGAUGUGAUGAUGGUGAAUUACACAAAGUGCAUGGCGAGGGGACCAAAAUCAAGCUCCUGACUGCAUCUGCUGCUGCUCUCAUGCAUCAGUUACUAUUGUCGACAAUUCUAUGGCAAAGCAAAGAAGACCAGAGAGAGCAGGUCCACACACAGCUGUCGGUAAGCUGCUGCUUCUGUAGUUGCUGGCAGCUUGACUGAAAACCAAACAGGAAGUGACGUCACAUCCUUUGCUCCGUGAUAUCACAAGGCUGAGUCGGAGAAAACUGCAGAGUGAAAGGAAGAAAAAAAAAAGACAGAGACAGAGGAGUGUGACUGAUGGGUGGAAAGAGGAAGCUGUCUGUGUUUCGGUUUCUUUCAGUGGCUGUGGCUCAGUCAUCCCAGACUCAGUGGUCUUGUUUAAGGCCAGCCAGACAAAUAAACUAAUCCCAUGUAAGUCACUUAUCUACUUAUCUCUGUCUACUGGGGCUACAGACACAUAGUCUUUACCCUCACAUGAAUCACCACAUAAAAGCUUUUUUUUUUUUUGGAAGCUUCAUAAUCAUACACUAAAUAUUCCUGGAUAGACUUUACUGACGUCAACAGUUGCUAGAUGAGCCUGUGACAUUUGUUCAUUUAGUUCUUACUAUUCUUGUGCUGUGUAACUUUGGUUUCUAAUUCAGUCAGUUGUCCUUUACUUAUGUUUAAGCUUUUCUCACUUUUAUGCAUUUCUAAGAAAUAAAAGUCUCACAAUUACUUGCUCAACUUCACAUCAUCCAGUCACAAGCACAUAAUGCGCAUGUUCAACAAGCUCUCGUUGUUUUGAAGAAGUUGCAAAUUUUACAUUAUCAGUUACUUAUGUUGUGUUGAUCAAAAUGUAUUAUAUGGUUCUCUGUUGAAUAGUGAAUCUUGACUUUCACUAAUGAAGGGGAGUGUGUGAAGCAUUAGAUCAACCAAUGAUCAACCAGUUCUCUACUGUGAAAUAGCUCAGACCUGCAUCUCAUGAAGCUUCAGUUGCCUGCAAGGUGAUGCAAAAGUGGAAGAAGAGGUUUUGGAAACUGUGACGCUAUGCUUUGUCAGCGCUGAGUGCAAUGCAGGGAGCUGGGAGCCUGACUGCUGCUGCAGGAGAGACACAGGAACCAGAGAACAGUGAGGGGAAGACACACACACUCACACAUUCAUGUACACACAAUCACCCCCUGAGACACUCACACAGCCGUGGACGUGUCGCCAUAGUAACACACUGACCCUGGCCUUAAAGUUGUGCUCCCGAGCCUGAUCUCCCACAGAGCCCUGACAAGUGGGGUGGAGUAAAUCUGUCUAUUUAUAGCAAACCCCUCAGCUCAUUUUCUCCUAGUGACAAUAAGAGCUAAUCUACUUUUUCCAAAGCCCACCACAUAUCCCUUACAUCAGCCUACCUACCAGACCCACAGUGGCCAACAGACGGGAAU